GCUGGCUUGUCCGAGUGGUUAAGGAGUUAGACUUGAAUCUACUUCGAUAUCUAAUACUCUCUGAGUGCGUAGGUUCAAAUCCUGCAGCCAGCG
rnacentral:tRNA from 2 species